rnacentral:rRNA from 1 species
CUUAAAUUGAAGAGUUUGAUCAUGGCUCAGAUUGAACGCUGGCGGCAGGCCUAACACAUGCAAGUCGAGCGGUAGCACAAGA